rnacentral:rRNA from 1 species
GACGAACGCUGGCGGCGUGCUUAACACAUGCAAGUCGAACGGUAAGGCCCUUCGGGGUACACGAGUGGCGAACGGGAGAGUAACACGUGGGUGAUCUGCCCUGCACUUCGGGAUAAGCCUGGGAAACUAGGUCUAAUACCGGAGAGGACCACUGCCUGCAUGGGUGGUGGUGGACAGCUUUUGCGGUGUGGGAUGGGCCCGCGUCCUAUCAGCUUGUUGGUGGGGUGAUGGCCUACCAAGGCGACGACGGGUAGCCGGCCUGAGAGGGUGACCGGCCACACUGGGACUGAGAUACGGCCCAGACUCCUACGGGAGGCAGCAGUGGGGAAUAUUGCACAAUGGGCGCAAGCCUGAUGCAGCGACGCCGCGUGAGGGAUGACGGCCUUCGGGUUGUAAACCUCUUUCAGCACCGACGAAGCGCAAGUGACGGUAGGUGCAGAAGAAGGACCGGCCAACUACGUGCCAGCAGCCGCAGUAA